GAAACCCAGUGUGUUUCGACACACUAUCAUGUCAUGAAUACAUAGUGGCAUGAGGCGAACCGGGGGAACUGAAACAUCUAAGUACCCCGAGGAAAAGAAAUCAACCGAGAUUCCCCCAGUAGCGGCGAGCGAACGGGGAGGAGCCCAGAACCUGAAUCGGCUUGUGUGUUAGUGGAAGCGUCUGGAAAGUCGCGCAGCAAAGGGUGAUAGCCCCGUACACUAAAAUGCACAGGUCGUGAGUUCGAUGAGUAGGGCGGGACACGUGACAUCCUGUCUGAAUAUGGGGGGACCAUCCUCCAAGGCUAAAUACUCCUGACUGACCGAUAGUGAACCAGUACCGUGAGGGAAAGGCGAAAAGAACCCCGGCGAGGGGAGUGAAAUAGAACCUGAAACCGUGUACGUACAAGCAGUGGGAGCACCUUCGUGGUGUGACUGCGUACCUUUUGUAUAAUGGGUCAGCGACUUAUAUUUUGUAGCAAGGUUAACCGUAUAGGGGAGCCGUAGGGAAACCGAGUCUUAACUGGGCGAAUAGUUGCAAGGUAUAGACCCGAAACCCGGUGAUCUAGCCAUGGGCAGGUUGAAGGUUGGGUAACACUAACUGGAGGACCGAACCGACUAAUGUUGAAAAAUUAGCGGAUGACUUGUGGCUGGGGGUGAAAGGCCAAUCAAACCGGGAGAUAGCUGGUUCUCCCCGAAAGCUAUUUAGGUAGCGCCUCGUGAACUCAUCUUCGGGGGUAGAGCACUGUUUCGGCUAGGGGGCCAUCCCGGCUUACCAAACCGAUGCAAACUCCGAAUACCGAAGAAUGUUAUCACGGGAGACACACGGCGGGUGCUAACGUCCGUCGUGAAGAGGGAAACAACCCAGACCGCCAGCUAAGGUCCCAAAGUCAUGGUUAAGU
rnacentral:rRNA from 1 species